AUGCCGUGCAUCUUAUCCAAGGCCAUCACCAAGAUUCAACCAUAUCACACUCAUCCAGUGAGAAAAAGAGGAGAUUCAUGUGGCCCAUUUCUUGUAACCCACUCCAAGUUCAUUGUGAGCCACUACACUCAAGGUCUGAACCCAGGAAAAAAAGGGCAUAAACCCAGCCCAUCACAAAACUUGCGGCGACCGUCCGAGCAGGGCCGCCCGCCUCACCCUUUUCCCCUAUUUUCCUCCGACUAUUUUUAUUUUUCUCCUUUUAGCCUCCUCGCUUUCUCCCCCAUCACGGAAGGAACAAGGCAGGGGAGGGGAACCCCAAGGCCGCGGACCGACCCGAGCGCGCGCGCGCCACCCAUCCCAUCCCAUGCCGCCGCUGGAGGCCCUCCUCGGCGCCGCCGAGCUCUGGCGCCCCGCGGCGCGCGGGGCCAGCGGCUGGGCCACCGCCGCCGCGCUCCUCCUGCUCCUCGUCGCCCACCUCUCCGUCCUCCUCGUCCGCCGCCGCCGCCGGGGGCGCGCACGCCUUGCCCGGCAGCAGGAGGAUGCCCCCGCGGCGCCCGCCUCCCCCUCCCCGUCCUCCGGGUCCGGGUCCAGCUCCGGCUCAGGGUCGGUCAGAUACCCCCUCCCCUGCCCCUUGGUUCAAUUCGUGCGGUUGAUUUGAUCGGAUGGGGGUGUUUGUGUUUUGUGGAGCGCAGGGUGGAGGGCCUCGUGACGGAGGACGAUCUGAGGCAGCUGGUGGGCAGCCUGGGGGUCGGCGCCCGCCAGCCGGAGCUCGAGGGCUGGGAUCCCGUCAUCGCCAAGGGGAACGACGCCGUCUCCUACAAGGCGUGGUGCGAGAGGACCGCGGAUGGCACACCUAGAUAUCUUAGUGUGACAACUUAUGAGGGAUGCUCAGCAGAGCUUUUGAGGGACUUUUACAUGGAUAAUGAGUACAGAAUGGAGUGGGAUAACACCGUGAUAAAGCAUGAGCAGCUGCAGUGUGAUGAAAAUAGCGGAAUUGAGAUAGGGCGAACAGUUAAGAAGUUCCCUCUUUUAACACCAAGAGAGUACAUAUUGGCAUGGCGAGUUUGGGCAUCAGAUGAGAACUCUUUCUAUUGCUUGGUCAAGGAAUGUGAACACUCUCUUGCGCCAAUACAAAGAAAAUUUGUUCGAGUACGACUUCUGAGAUCGGGGUGGUGUAUUAGGAAAGUCCCUGGAAGAGACGCAUGUGAAAUCACAGUGCUGCACCAUGAAGACAAUGGCAUGAACAUCGAGAUGGCAAAGCUAGCCUUUUCCAAGGGCAUCUGGAAUUAUAUUUGUAAAAUGAACAAUGCUUUACGCCGGUAUCCUCAGCACCGUGGUCCGUCGAUAUCAAUUUCGACCAUGCGAAGACUUACCAAGAAGUUUCCCCAGGACUUGCAGAUCAACAUGGAUGAAAGUAAUCGAUGUCCAGUGAAUACAGCUGCGGCUGUUGCUCCUCCUACACCUUCAUCCGGAACUUCUCCCUGCAAGCAGCUAGGGAAGAAGUCAUCACGGGAAACGAUUGCAAGUGGACUUUUGCUAAUUGGAAGCAUCGUUUGUCUGUCGAAAGGUCGAUCUAACCUCGGCGCACAGCUUGCCAUGGCAUUCUUCCUGAAGAAGGCCUUUAAGCAGGACAAAGAAUCAGGCUCUUCGCCAAGGGGAAGAACUGAUACGACGGUGCCCAUGCAGUAG
rnacentral:rRNA from 1 species